CUCAGGAUGAACGCUAGCGGCAGGCCUAACACAUGCAAGUCGAGGGGUAAGUCCCGACUUUGUCGGGAACAUGACCGGCGAACGGGUGAGUAACGCGUUUGCAACCUACCCUUAACUGGAAGAUAGCUCCCGGAAACGGGAAUUAAUACUCCAUAAUAUUCAGACAGGGCAUCUUGUCUGAAUCAAAGCUCCGGCGGUUAAGGAUGGGCAUGCGUGACAUUAGCUUGUUGGUGAGGUAACGGCUCACCAAGGCUGCGAUGUCUAGGGGGUCUGAGAGGAUGAUCCCCCACACUGGUACUGAGACACGGACCAGACUUCUACGGAAGGCAGCAGUGAGGAAUAUUGGGCAAUGGACGAAAGUCUGACCCAGCCAUGCCGCGUGCAGGAUGACGGCCCUAUGGGUUGUAAACUGCUUUUUUACAAGAAGAAAAGUCCCGACGUGUCGGGAUUUGGCGGUAUUGUAAGAAUAAGCAUCGGCUAACUCCGUGCCAGCAGCCGCGGUAAUACGGAGGAUGCAAGCGUUAUCCGGAUUCAUUGGGUUUACAGGGUGUGUAGGCGGGACAGUAAGUCAGUGGUGAAAUCUCUCGGCUUAACCGGAAAACUGCCAUUGAUACUGCUGUCCUUGAGUAUAGUUGAGGUGGGCGGAAUGUGUAAUGUAGCGGUGAAAUGCUUAGAUAUUACCCAGAACACCGAUUGCGAAAGCAGCUCACUAAACUAAUACUGACGCUGAGGCACGAAAGCGUGGGGAGCGAACAGGAUUAGAUACCCUGGUAGUCCACGCUGUAAACUAUGAAUACUCGAUGUGUGCGAUACACUGUACGCGUCUGAGCGAAAGCAUUAAGUAUUCCACCUGGGGAGUACGGUCGCAAGAUUGAAACUCAAAGGAAUUGACGGGGGCCCGCACAAGCGGAGGAACAUGUGGUUUAAUUCGAUGAUACGCGAGGAACCUUACCUGGGCUUAAAUGCAGAACGAUGUUCCGGGAAACUGGAAUUCCCUUCGGGGCGGACUGCAAGGUGCUGCAUGGCUGUCGUCAGCUCGUGCCGUGAGGUGUCGGGUUAAGUCCCAUAACGAGCGCAACCCCUAUCGUUAGUUGCCAGCGGGUAAUGCCGGGGACUCUAACGAAACUGCCAGUGUAAACUGUGAGGAAGGUGGGGAUGACGUCAAGUCAGCACGGCCCUUAUGUCCAGGGCUACACACGUGUUACAAUGGCCAGUACAGAGGGCAGCUACCAGGCGACUGGAUGCAAAUCUCGAAAACUGGUCUUAGUUCGGAUCGGAGUCUGCAACUCGACUUCGUGAAGGUGGAUUCGCUAGUAAUCGCGCAUCAGCCACGGCGCGGUGAAUACGUUCCCGGGCCUUGUACACACCGCCCGUCAAGCCAUGGAAGCUGGGGGUACCUAAAGUCUGUAAC
rnacentral:rRNA from 1 species